rnacentral:rRNA from 1 species
AUUGAACGCUGGCGGCAGGCCUAACACAUGCAAGUCGAGCGGAUGAAGGGAGCUUGCUCCUGGAUUCAGCGGCGGACGGGCGAGUAAUGCUUAGGAAUCUGCCUGGUAGUGGGGGAUAACGUCCGGAAACGGGCGCUAAUACCGCAUACGUCCUGAGGGAGAAAGUGGGGGAUCUUCGGACCUCACGCUAUCAGAUGAGCCUAGGUCGGAUUAGCUAGUUGGUGGGGUAAAGGCCUACCAAGGCGACGAUCCGUAACUGGUCUGAGAGGAUGAUCAGUCACACUGGAACUGAGACACGGUCCAGACUCCUACGGGAGGCAGCAGUGGGGAAUAUUGGACAAUGGGCGAAAGCCUGAUCCAGCCAUGCCGCGUGUGUGAAGAAGGUCUUCGGAUUGUAAAGCACUUUAAGUUGGGAGGAAGGGCAGUAAGUUAAUACCUUGCUGUUUUGACGUUACCAACAGAAUAAGCACCGGCUAACUUCGUG